UUCAAUGCUAAAAGAAAAAUGUGCAGGGUUCCCAAACUAAUAGCUAUGGCAACUGGGGUGGAAGAAGUUCUGCCUCCACCACUUACUUCUACUUCAGUUCCACCUUCAUUGUUUGAUGGAACAGCGAGAUAUGAAUCUGAUAAUGGAAACUCUUCCUUUUUUGGUUUAUGGUGACAUGUGGUUGAAGGUUGUAUAUCUCUUACCAAUGCCCCUAUGCUCAGCGUGUAUGGAUCACCCGUAACUGUAAGGUUAUUAAAAAAACACACCGUGACCUUGUCCUAUCUUAUUCUUGGAAAAACACACCCGCAAACGUGAUUUUACACAUCUUAAUAUAUUAAUGGAAAAACUAUAAUUUGUCACGUUGAAUUUAACGUGGAUUGAAGAAGCAAGAUUUUGACAUGUUAAGUUUAAUGUGGAUCCACGUUAAAUUCAAUGGAAUUUGUGUGUGUCUUGUGUUAGGAUUUAACUGUUUGGCACUCUGGAUUGGCCAGGUUAGCUUGAGAAACAAUUGGAUACCUUACCAAGAAUGUGUUUGGAUGUAUAUCUACUACUAGUUCCAAGUUUACAAAGAGUUAGAGUUGAUUCCUUACAACCAUAAUCAAUUUUUGAAAACAAUCAUGGCUUAAAAGCAACUUUGGUCCCCCACGAUUACCUUUUGCGUGCUAGUAGUCCCCCACAAAAUUUAAUUGCACUUUAGAACCCUGACUAUUAGCUCCGUUAGCAACUUUAGUUUUCCAUCUAAAAUCCGUCAAAAAUCUAACGAUUCUCUCUCCUGUGGCACCUGACUAAUGACGUGGCUGACAAAUUGGAGAGAGAAAGGGCCACUCAAGUCAUCACGUGCAAGUCACGUGACUCCAUCACCUGCCUUCACCCUAAAUUGAACCCUAGGGGCCAAAAUUGCCCCAAUCUGAAAAAAGAAGCAGUGUUCAUUCUCCAUUGACGGAGGCAACGAGGUUUCAAGGCGAUCCCUGCGAGAAGCACGACGACAAUUGAAAUGGCAAGGAAGAGGACUCCAAAGAAGAGAACCUCGAAGAAGGAUAACCCAACGAAGUUGCAGAACGAUAAUGGUAGUGGUCUCAGCGAAAAUCGAAGUCAACCGGAACCGGAGGUGGUCCCUGAGAGAAGCACGACGGUGUUCCUUGAGAGAAGCACAACGGUGGUCCCUCAGAGGAGCACAGCUAAUCUUUUUGCUUUAUGGGACACUCUUCCUACAAACCAUGUGGCUAUACCUACUGUGCCUCAUAAGCCUGAUAUUAAUGUAUUCCAUGGGGGCAAAAUGACCUUUAACCCAACCGACCCAUAUGUGAACGGGGAUUGUAAGGUACUCCAAGACUGGGAUAUGGAUGAGAUUUCAUCAAUUGAGUUGGGUAACCUUGUGAAGAAUUUGGGGUAUCCCAACUUUAAAGGGUUGUGGUAUAAGCACCCUACUAUUGUUGGGUCAAGUGGGAUGAGACCACUCAAUUGUGAUGCUGACAUUAGGUGCUUCUUGGAAGAUGUGAAAGGACAAACUAAAGUGGACAUAUUUGUUGACCACAUUGAAACUGUACAAAGCAACAAGGUUGUCAUUGAUGAAGUGGUUGUAGAGCCUGAAGUGGAAAUUGUGAGGGAGGAGAGUGUGGUAGAGCCUGAGAGUGAAGUUGUGACUGGAAACCAGAAAAAUAAAGUUACAAAGGAAGUUGAGAGAAGAGGAUCUGGAAGAGUUGAAAAUGAAGAGUCUGAACCAGAAAAAUAAAGUUACAAAGGAAGUUACAAAGGAACAUUUUGCUACUUGUCGAUGAAUUGCAGAGGUCGAAAAUGGCUUCUCCCCCCUUUUCUAGGGUUCCGGAAUACAAGAUGACCGUUGGGGAAGAAAGCAGGUGAUGGAGUCACGUGACUUGCACGUGAUGACUUGAGUGGCCCUUUCUCUCUCCAAUUUGUCAGCCACGUCAUUAGUCAGGUGCCACAGGAGAGAGAAUCGUUAGACUUUUGACGGAUUUUAGAUGGAAAACUAAAGUUGCUAACGGAGCUAAUAGUCAGGGUUCUAAAGUGUAAUUAAAUUUUGUGGGGGACUACUAGCACGCAAAAGGGAUUGCAGAACCAGAUAGAAUUGGUUCCUAUUGAUCUACAAGAUAGGCCUUCCUGGUAUAAGGAGAAAGUCUACCCACCUAACAAGGUUCCAUCCCUUGAACACAAUAAUGAAGUCAGAGGAGAGAGUCUCGAUCUCA